AUCAAUGUAGCAAAUGUGUGCAAUGAAUUUAAGCUUCAUAAAUAGAGAAGAUCUCUUUGAUA
rnacentral:tRNA from 1 species